GGGCCUUUAGCUCAGUUGGUUAGAGCGUCCGGCUCAUAACCGGCAGGUCCGGGGUUCGAAUCCCUGAAGGCCCACCA
rnacentral:tRNA from 6 species